GCAGCGACGCCGCGUGAAGGAAGAAGUAUCUCGGUAUGUAAACUUCUAUCAGCAGGGAAGAAAAUGACGGUACCUGACUAAGAAGCCCCGGCUAACUACGUGCC
rnacentral:rRNA from 1 species